GUGCUAAGGUAGCAUAAUAAUUUGUCUCUUAAAUAGAGACCAGAACAAAAGAUUUAACAUUUAAAUUCACUUAUUUUUUUUAAAAACUUAAAUUUUUCUAAGUGUAAAAAAACACUUAUAUAAAAGAAAGACGACAAGACCCUAUUGAACUUAACUAUAGUUUAACUGGGGAAGUUAAUCAAUUAAUAUUUUAUUUUUUAUUAACCUAAAAAUAUCCAACACUAUKGAUUUAUUUAGUUACCAUAGGGAUAACAGCGCAAUUAUAUUUUUAAGUCCUUAUUUAAAAUAUAGAUUACGACCUCGAUGUUGAAUUAAUAACCUAGUUUAAGAAAAUUUUUAAAAAGGAAGUCUGUUCGACUUUUAAAAAAUUACAUGAUUUGAGUUCAGACCGGUAUAAGCCAGGUCGGUUUCCAUCUUCUAUAAAAAUCCUUACAGUACGAAAGGGCCUAAAGAUAUAAUUAAAUUAAUUUAUUAGCAAAUAAAUGCAUUAGAAUUAGAAUCUAAUUAAACUA
rnacentral:rRNA from 1 species